UACGGAGGAUCCGAGCGUUAUCCGGAUUUAUUGGGUUUAAAGGGUGCGUAGGCGGCCUUUUAAGUCAGCGGUGAAAGUCUGUGGCUCAACCAUAGAAUUGCCGUUGAAACUGGCGGCCUCGAGUGGGCGAGAAGUAUGCGGAAUGCGUGGUGUAGCGGUGAAAUGCAUAGAUAUCACGCAGAACUCCGAUUGCGAAGGCAGCAUACCGGCGCCCAACUGACGCUGAGGCACGAAGGCCAGGGGAGCGAAAGGG
rnacentral:rRNA from 1 species